AACUCACUUUUUUCAUCUAGGAAAAGAAUAUCAUGUGAAUUCUAUACUAAAGUAACCCUCAGUUGAUCUUAGUUCUCCUAAAUUCUGAACUGAUCACCCACAAGCAUCACAUUUAUACUCAAAGAACUCUCUCAGGAUGUCACAAUCAGUGACCAGCGUAAUAUACAAUAAGAAGUCACAAACUUGAUCUUCAAUACCAUUACUUCAAAGGUAAGACAUGUUUGUGGUUGUUAUCAUCCUUAAAUGACUGAUUUUACAUUACCGUUUAGGUUUAGCAGAAGAAACAAUUCAGUUCUGAGACUUGCAUUAAUCUCAAGGUAAGACAAGUGGAAUAAAUCGUUCUCUGGAUGUCCCCAUCUUUCUCCACUGGACAUUAGAAAGAACCUGGAUGUCUAGAUGUUUGUAAAAUAUAACCUAUCAUUAAACAUUCUUGUUGCAAACUCUAAGGCAUGAUUGCAACCACUCUCAAACACGUUUGCCACUAUGAGGCGUUUUUGUUUUCUAUCUGUCUUACUCCCUUAAGACUGACAUGCUGUGAUAGGGAAUAAAAGACAUUAUCUUCUGAUCCAUGUAAUUCCUUUGGGGUAAAAGGGUGAGCAAUGUUCUUUGCUGUCCAGUUUCAUAAUAAAAUAAAAGUAGCACAAAAUUCCUGGUUUUAAGGCAAUUUAAAAUUCUAUUCUGACUGAAAAUUAUUAUUUUCCUUUUCUGUGAAACAACACUUCAUAAAACACAUUACAUAUAUGAAUCAAGAAUCAUUUGUCCCUAGGACAUAUUGUUCAGUUGCUUCUCACCUUUGCACUCAAAAUUCAUGUAACUUUACAGCCAUUGUAUUGGUGUAGGUGGUUAUGCAAUGCAAAUACAUAGAGAAUCAGAUCUUUAUCAGAGAUGAUAAUAUGAGUGACUUUCAGGGUUAUCACAGAUAGAUAACAAGAGUCUUUUAAAAAGAAUAUCUCCCAAAUAGAAAGACUUUAUGAGAUUUAUUCUGCUGUGUAUAAUUGUAUAUAAUGAUUAA